UUUUUAUGUACAUUGCAUGUUUGAAUACCCACAUUUGACUCUAUUUAUAACAGCCAUCAGUCAUGUGACAUGUUUGACUGAGAGCGUUUCUCCAAACAACAUGGGCAUGAGUGGCAGUAGUUUGGUCCCUCAUUGCUUGUUUUGUUCUGUACUGGUCCGUGAUUUGAUCUUGACUGACUUGAGAACUCUUUUGCCAGUAUAAGUACCAGCAAGUACCGACCGGUAACCUCCUGGAUGACAGUGAGGGUGAGGAGGUCGUCUACCACAGUGAUUCCGAGAGGUCACACUAUGACCCCGAGCCAGAGGUGACCUUGGGACUGCAGACAGUCCUGACCCCACAAAGAGUUUGAUUACACUAAAUGACCCUCUGUGAUUUGUAUUUUUCAGCUCCAGUCUGUGAGUUAUUUAUCCGAUUCUGGCGUAGAGAAGGGGAAAAAUAACUGAGCACUGAAAAUGCAUGACAAUUCCCUUGUUUAUGAUUGAUCACAUGAAUUGACAUGUUCUAAACAGUUUCCUGAAUUCUCAUUGGUGGGAGUUGCAGCUUCUACCCCCCAUGAUUGGCUGAGAUAGAAGUCACACAUUGUCAUCAGGGUUAACCAAACUCUUUGUAUUUAUAUAUUUUUGCACUAACAUGCUCUGGCAGCCAUGCUUAUAGUUUGGGUAUUUAGAGUUUUCUCCCUUUACUUCUAAUAUUCUUUCCCCUUUAAGCAUGGUAUCAGACUCAUAAAGGGAGACAACUCUAAUGUUUGCAAACCUGUAAAACUGUGUGCAUCACUAUGCUCACUGUAUAAUCUCUUUAAAAAUUUCUAGUUUAAACACCAGCCGCUCUCGGUAAAUAGCGGGGACAUAAUCGGUCAAGAUUACCAAGGUGAAGGCCAGAUAGACGUGACCGUUGAGGAGGUGAAGACAUGAUGUUGUCUCUUUCAUUUAGAAGUGUAGUUCAUUGGUUUACCAUUUACAUAUAUAUAUACACAACAUGCUUUGCUUGUUCAUAUAGUCACACAACUUCAGUUAUUCUGUUUGCUGCUUCUUGUUUUAUACAACAUAUAUCUACUGCUUUCCCUGUAUUCUGCACUUUUGUUACAUGUACGUUUAGUUUGUACUAAUAAGUCAAAGUUUAUACUAAUACCUGGUGCUGGGAUCCAAUAUCUGUAUUGAAGCUUUUGAUGGAAAAUUAAGAUGAAAGCAAAUACAAUUGAAAUGUUGCAUCAUACAGUUAGCAGAAACAAAGAUAUAAUUUGAUAUACAGUAGCUUUUGACUUGAAUGAUCUAUGUUGGGUUUCUCUGUAGAACAGUGAAUCAUGCAUGGAGCAUUUUGAAGACAGGGACUGAAAAUAAAUGAUUUGUCAUGUAGAUCAAUUAUUUAUUCAAAUGAAAAUGUAUGACACAAAUUUGAACAAGAUUUCUGGACAGACAGCAUGGAUAUUUAUUGUUUAGUUUUUUUUUAACUCCCCUAGCAUGAUGAACCUUAAUUACACGCAACUGUCAUUUUUGAAAAAGAAUGUACAAAAGUGGUGUCUCAAUGUCAGAUUUGUUUAGACAAUGAAAGGGAACGGUCUACUACAUUCAAUAGUAAGAUAAUUCAUUGUGUUAAAAAUUAGUAAAUUACCAUAAAUAUUUUGUAUACAGGGUUACUUUUUCUUUUCUUCUCCUAGCUAAUUUUAUUUGCACACUAACAUAGCUGCAGAUCUGAAACUCCCAGUCUGACAAAAUACGGAUGAAAGAACGACCAGGUCAUCCAUCCAAUUUUUUUUCAGACUGGGAGCUACAGACCUGCAGCUAACGCUAACAAUGAGGGAAAAUGUGAACAGAAAUAGAAAUGGGUGAAAAUUUCUUGGUAUUCAAUAUGUAUAAAAAUGGAUCACAUGGGGAUACCUGAUAUGUAAUACAAACUAUGUAGUCUAGUGUUUCUAUGCAUCUUGCUAUUAAUUUAAAAAAAUCAAUUUAAUUAAUUAAAAGAAUGGCUUCUUUUGUUGUCUGUGAAUUUGAAAUUUUUUGAAAUUCAAUGCAAAAACUAAUUUCAACCAUAACAGAUAUGGGCAUUUGGUAGAUUAAACACGUCGCCUUAUUGGAUGUGAUUUCAUUGCAGGAGUUUGACUUUGGCGAGGCGUUCACCCAUCAGUCCAUUCACACUAUAGAGUACUGUCUGGGCUGUGUCUCACACACUGCCUCAUACCUGCGGUUGUGGGCCCUCAGUCUGGCACAUGCUCAACUGUCGGAAGUCCUGUGGAACAUGGUGAUGCGGAUAGCUCUACAGAUCGAUGGCUAUGGAGGAGCGUUUCUCCUGGCAGCCGUCUUUUCUUUCUGGGCGUGUGCAACAGUGGUCGUUCUGAUCCUGAUGGAGGGGCUGUCCGCCUUCCUCCACACCCUGCGUCUCCACUGGGUGGAGUUUAAUUCCAAGUUCUAUGAUGGACAGGGCUACAAGUUCCACCCCUUUUCCUUUGAUGACUUGUCCGAGUACAGCAUUGAGGACUAAGCUCCUCGUACACUGGGUGACCGUCCUGUGUGUUUGCUGUUAACACUCUCCACAACAGGACUUGUACAGCUCCAUCUACAGAUGAAGAAAGGGUUAACUCCCUUUUCUGGUCUGUUUUGUGGAGUUGGCCUUCCUGUCAGUAGCUUUUAGAUUAUUUUGUGUUUGUGUUUUAUUUAUUGUGAUAAAAGAGAAAUUUUAUGGCAUAAUACACAUUAUCUUUAACUCAUUGCUUUAUAUUCGGUGAUUUUCUUUUGAAAUCCAGAGGUGCAUACAUUGUAAUAUAUCUUUUUGAAUCAUUUCAAUAGACAAUGAGAAAAUAUAUAUAAAUUGAUGAAAUUUAGAUUAAAAUGUAUGGAUUAGUGGAUAAUUUUGCUCUUCAUUAAGGUGUUGUGUCAUUUCUAAGUAUCUCUAUUAAUAUGGCUCAAUUUAUGAAAUCUGAUAUAAUCUGGGCAAUGUCUGCUAGAGCCGUUUAUCGGGAGAUUGGGUGAUGGAGGGAUAAAUCCCCCGGCAGCCGUUCCAUUCCUGCUGUUUCCUAUCCCGUCAAUCUUCUGUUAUUGUUAGAUUAUGUUUUGACUUUAUCACCUAUCCUGGGUUUUUUGGGGGGAAGUUCCUUCCAGGAGAGAACAGUUGUGUAUGUUUAACUGUGGCAGUUGAGAUUAGAUAUACAUACAGGUAUUUUUUCUCCGAAUGGGAUAAAUUAAUGUAUUUAUGCCUUUUUUUUUCAAAAACAUUUUACUUCAGAGUCUGUGUAAAUUGUUGUUAAUGUCUUAAUAAAACGGAUAAAAAUGUC
rnacentral:misc_RNA from 1 species